UAACAUAAGGGAGGAAAAGAAACCAACAGGGAUUACCUCAGUAACGGCGAGUGAAGCGGUAAAAGCUCAAAUUUGAAAUCUGGCUUAGGCCCGAAUUGUAACCUGCAGAGGAUGUUUUGGUGUACUUGAUCGAUCAUGUUUCUUGGAAUAGGACAUCAUGGAGGGUGAGAAUCCCGUAGGUCGAUUGGGGAACCGUUAAAAAACUCCUUCGAAGAGUCGAGUUGUUUGGGAAUGCAGCUCCAAUUGUGAGGUAUAUUUCUCAUAAAGCUAAAUAUGUGCCAGAGACCGAUAGCGCACAAGUAGAGUGAUCGAAAGAUGAAAAGCACUUUGAAAAGAGAGUGAAAAAGUACGUGAAAUUGUUGAAAGGGAAGCGUUUGCUAUCAGACAUGGUUUUCUUAUUCCCUUGACCUUUUCGGUCUUGGUACUUGAGAAUUGCCAGGCCAAUAUGAUUUCUCGGGGGUGGACAAAGCUCAGAGAAAAGUAAAUUUUCGAAUUGUUAUAGUCUUGGAGCAUACACCCACUGGGGAAUGAGGAACUUUAGAUAUUGGCAUAAUGAUAAUCAACGACCCGUCUUGAAACACGGACCAAGGAGUCUAGCGCAUGUGCAAGUGUUUGGGUGUUAAGCCCCAGCGCGAAAUGAAAGUAAACGUAGGUGGGAGCUUUUUUGCACACCAUCGACCGAUCCUGAUGUUUACGGAUGGAUUUGAGUAUGAGCACAUUUGCUGGGACCCGAAAGAUGAUGAACUAUGCCUAAAUAGGCUGAAGCCGCCCGAAAGGGCGGUGGAAGGUCGCAGCGGUUCUGACGUGCAAAUCGAUCGUCAAAUUUGGGUAUAGGGGCGAAAGACUAAUCGAAUCAUCUAGUAGCUGGUCAGCAG
rnacentral:rRNA from 1 species